rnacentral:rRNA from 2 species
AAGCCUCAAGUUAUGUGUGACAACCCCCUGAUUUUAAAGCAUAAA